GGGGCGUUAGCUCAGUUGGGAGAGCGGCUGCUUUGCAAGCAGCAGGUCACCGGUUCGAGACCGGUACGCUCCA
rnacentral:tRNA from 1 species